GAACAUAGAUCAAUUGCUUGUGUGUGUGUGUUUGUGGCAGGAGUGAGUUGUCAGUUGAGAAAAGUUCGGUGUUACAGGCAGAGCUUCAGUCCUGCAAUCAGCUGCUGGAGCUCGAACCGCAGAACAAGUGGUGUCUGCUGACAAUCAUACUCCUCAUGAGAGCUCUGGAUCCUCUAGGCCAUGAGAAAGAGACACUGGCACAUUUUCAAACCCUUAAAGAAGUGGACCCGAUGCGCUCUACCUACUACAGUGACCUGUGCAGCAAGUUUCUGAUUGAAAACACCAUUCUGAAAAUGGAGUAUGCAGAGGUGCGAGUGUUUAGCCUGUCAAAUAAGGUAAGAGAGCCCAACUCUGGUCUGA